AAUAAUGUUUAUUACUUUAUUCCCACUCUACUACCUUUACUUUCUUUUCUUCAUACAUUUGACCAUUUGACCAUGUCACUGAUACUCCCUUAUCUACCUUCAUUAUUUUUUCUAUAGAUGGGAAGCCCAACACUCUUUGGCAACGUUCCGCCGUUUACCAGAGUCUACUACCCCUUCACAGACGACGACCAGUUGUUCAGUGCCCCUUUGGCGGCAG
rnacentral:lncRNA from 1 species